rnacentral:rRNA from 1 species
CAGUAGCCGCGGUAAUACGUAGGUGGCAAGCGUUGUCCGGAAUUACUGGGCGUAAAGGGCUCGCAGGCGGUUUUUUAAGUCUGAUGUGAAAGCCCCCGGCUCAACCGGGGAGGGUCAUUGGAAACUGGGAAACUUGAGUGCAGAAGAGGAGAGUGGAAUUCCACGUGUAGUGGUGAAAUGCGUAGAGAUGUGGAGGAACACCAGUGGCGAAGGCGACUCUCUGGUCUGUAACUGACGCUGAGGAGCGAAAGCGUGGGGAGCGAACAGGAUUAGAUACCCCCGUAGUCCCUGUCUCUUAUAC